GACACGGUGGCUUAGUGGUUAGCACGUUUGCCUCCCACCUCCGGGGUUAAAGGUUCGAUUCCUUUCCCGAGUUU